CAUUGUGAAGUGGAAUCUGAAGGAAGCCGCAGGCAAAGUUCCGAGCCGACGAACAGAAAUCGCAUAUAAGGCGGGGCAGAGCGGGCGAGGCAGCAAUACAAGUCGAAGUCCCAUACUACCCGGACUCUGUCACGUAAAUGCGGCGGCUGCAUGGAAUAAAGGCAA
rnacentral:ncRNA from 1 species